AUUCUGUGUCUCUUCUAAGCAACAUACAAGUUUAUGCAGACCUGGGACAAAGGAGAAAAGUUGGGGUGUGUACCUGGCUUGAGGCAAAACUGCCUAGGAUGACCUCCUAACUUCCCCUCAAGCAAUACGAUUCCAUCAAAUUUCGCACUGAAUUGGACAAGAAUCAGCAUGUCCUGUUUUGAACCUUUGCACGAGUAGAUUGACACAUGAGGGAUACCGAUUGCCUGUUGUGUCCUCAUUCCUUCCAGUCUUCAUCCAUAAGGAAUCUGAAAUAGUCCCUCUUACUCUUUCUGUCUAGAGAGAAACAGAACAUCAAGAUGGACUGGAAAUGAUGGUAUAAAAUUCAUUAAAUUGGGAGGGCAUGGGAUGGACUGGGAA